UACGGGGGGGGCAAGCGUUGUUCGGAAUUACUGGGCGUAAAGGGCUCGUAGGCGGCCAACUAAGUCAUACGUGAAAUCCCUCAGCUUAACUGGGGAACUGCGUGUGAUACUGGAUGGCUUGAGAUUGGGAGAGGGAUGCGGAAUUCCAGGUGUAGCGGUGAAAUGCGUAGAUAUCUGGAGGAACACCGGUGGCGAAGGCGGCAUCCUGGACCAACACUGACGCUGAGGAGCGAAAGCCAGGGGAGCAAACGGG
rnacentral:rRNA from 1 species